UACGUAGGGUGCAAGCGUUGUCCGGAAUUAUUGGGCGUAAAGGGCUCGUAGGCGGUCCAUCACGUCGGGAGUGAAAAGCUGGGGCUUAACCCCAGUCCUGCUUCCGAUACGGGUGGACUAGAGGUAGGUAGGGGAGAACGGAAUUCCUGGUGUAGCGGUGAAAUGCGCAGAUAUCAGGAGGAACACCGGUGGCGAAGGCGGAUCUCUGGGCCUGUUCUGACGCUGAGGCGCGAAAGCUAGGGGAGCGAACAGG
rnacentral:rRNA from 1 species